AGUCCCUGGCAAUGGGCAAAGAGACACCUUGGUGGUGGUGUUGUCUUAUAUCAGCCAGGGACAGAGCAGAUGGGAGUCCUUUGUUCAUCCUAGCUUGAUGCCUGUCUUGGUGGCCAAAGCUGUUUCAUGCCUAGGGCACAUAA
rnacentral:snoRNA from 1 species